rnacentral:rRNA from 1 species
GACGAAGGAUGCAAGCGUUAUCCGGAUUCAUUGGGUUUAAAGGGAGCGUAGGUGGCCAACUAAGUCAGACGUGAAAUCCCUCAGCUUAACUGGGGAACUGCGUCUGAUACUGGAUGGCUUGAGUUUGGGAGAGGGAUGCGGAAUUCCAGGUGUAGCGGUGAAAUGCGUAGAUAUCUGGAGGAACACCGGUGGCGAAGGCGGCAUCCUGGACCAACACUGACACUGAGGAGCGAAAGCCAGGGGAGCAAACGGG